AAGUAUUAUACAAGAACCAUUGCAAGAUGAUCAUGUACCCCGAGCCCCAUUGACCAACAUCACAAAUGCGGCUGCUCACGACGCUUCUCGGCCCUCAACUUCAGAUCAUAAGCCACCCUACACGCCACAAUUUUGCUCUGAAGCUAGUAGUUUGGCCAAACAUAUAAAAAAACUUACCAAGACGAAGGACAAAUAUGCCGUCAGACUAAAAAAAGCUAUGUCUCUCUCAACCAACACAGCUUUUCAGAAAGCCAUCGGUAAAUUUACCACAAUGGCUUUGCUAUUUGUCAUGAUGCAAUUUAGAGAGAUAAAUAAAAAGAAAAUGGGAAGGAGAUUCACAAAACAAGAAAAAAUAAUGGCAUUAUCUCUUUAUAAGCAAGGACCUAAGGCGUAUAGAUGGCUGAGGCACAUUUUUGUACUACCAUCGCCUCUCACAUUAUCAAGGAUGAUAUCCGCUGCAGCCUUAAAAGCCGGUAUAAACGAUAACAUUUUCGAAAAUCUUAAAAAAAAGGCCAGAAAAAUGUCGAUAUCUGAAAGGCUGUGUAUUUUAUUAUUCGACGAGAUGGCAAUUAAACCUCAUUUUGAGUACAAUUCAAAAAAAGACAUGAUCGUCGGAUUCGUUGACAACGGAAAAAGGAGGGUCAAAAAAAUCGCUGACCACGUGCUAGUAUUUAUGAUAAGAGGCAUCACAAAAAAUUAUAAACAGCCUAUUAGUUACAGCUUUUGUUGUGGAGCCACCGAGAAACACGAAUUAGCGCAGGCCAUAAAGGACCACAUAAGAAAAUUAAAAUCCAGUGGAUUUCACGUGAUCGCAACUGUCUGUGACCAAGGCUCAUCAAAUAUGAGUGCCAUCAAUGCACUCAUUGCAGAAACGAAACAUGAAAAUAAAAAUUCGACAGGUUACGUGUUUGACGUGGAUGGUGAUGAAGUAAUACCUCUGUAUGACCCUCCUCACCUUAUAAAAAAUAUAAGGAACAAUUUAAUCACAAAAGAUUUGACUUGUUCCAUUGAUAACGAAAAAAAAAAACUGCCAAGUGGGAACACAUCGUUAAAUUAUACGAGGAAAAUCCAGCUUAUAAAGGCAUAAGGUUAAUGCCCAAGUUAACAGAACUGCAUGUAGAUCCAAAGAAAAUGCCAAAAAUGAAAGUCAAAUAUGCAACACAAUUACUUAGCAGUUCAGUCGCUGUCAAUAUGGGAUAUUUAGCAGAGAAAGGAAUACUAGAUCCGUCAAGCAAAGAAACAGCCGACGUUAUUCUUUUUUUUGACGAAUUAUUCGACUCUGUCAACGAAGGAUUCAUGAAUGAAAAGAAAAGACCUGGCAAAGACUUACUGGGUCCACUCACACCCAAAUCAAGCCAUCAGAGUGUUUGGACGAAAAGUAAAGAGGUUUUAAAAACAAUGACAUUUGUAACACCCCAAGGACGCAGAAAAAGUCAUGUUUCGACCGUGCCUAACUGGCUACGCACCUUAGAAAAUUUGGAAUAUUUAAAAAAUCUGCUGUUUCAAAAGCAUGAGAUAAAGUCCAUAUGGUUACGCCACUUUAACCAGGAUCCACUUGAAAACUUUUUUGGCUGUGUGAGGAGCCAUGGUGCAAGAAGCAACAACCCGACGUGUGUACAUUUUGAGGUUGCCUUCGCGGCAUUGUUAAUCAACAAUUUAAAUUCGUUGCAUUCUCCAGGAUAUAAUUGUGAGAAAGACCAGGGACGUGGAUUUAAGUCUUUAAGUAAGAUCUUUUUUGACAAACCUGCACUUUAUCGCGCUCCGGAGAAAAAUGACAUUAAUUUUGAUCAUGUCAGUGACCAUGUCUUGGUGGGAAUAAAUAAUAAGAAAGCUAACGUAAAAAUUUUGGCUCAAAUUGAGUAUGUUACAGGAUAUAUAUUAAGGAAAACUAAAAUUAUAUUCAAAGAUUGUAAGACAUGCAACGGCUGCCUUUACGAUUGUAACAAAAGCAGCCGAUACAUAAAAUUAAAAGAAUUUAACAAAGGAAAAUCAUAUUUAUCAUAUCCUUCAGAUGCUUUAGCUGAAUGUUUCUCUAAUAUUCAAGAUGUGGUCACGAACAUAUUAAAAACGGACUGUGACAUGGUCAAUAUAAAACAAUAUUUAGAAGAUGCUGUAAACACAGUAGUAAAUUUUAAUUGUUUACAAUGUGCUAACCAUAAAAGUGCCCUUACCAACAAAAUCAUAGACUUAUCUUGUAGGUUUUUCCUACAUAACUGGUGUAAAGACACAAAUAAAAUAUUAAAAGGAACGCGAUCCGACUUCGAUACAGAAGACAGAAUGCGAGAAAUGACGAGGAACUAUUAUUUAAAACGAAGGAAAUGCUCCAAUCGAUGAACAGUGAGCUAAAUAAGUUUUUCCAUAAGAGUGUAGUCUAAUUUGAUAGAAGUUUUUACUUAUUUCUAUACUUUUAAUAGAUAGCUUGUCUUAAAAGCGAUGAUUAUGAAUGAAUAUUGUCAAUUAGCAUUGAUUUUGUAAUGUAAAAAUAAAACUGUAAUCACAUUUAUUGUUUUUCAAUUACUGGUCUGGGCAAACUGAACGAGGUCACAUCAUUGUGUGAUCUUCGUUAGCGGUUUUCUGGCGAGGACUACAAUGAAGGUUCACACUUGAUGUGAUCUGGUUCCGUUUGCACGGACUCAGAACGCAAACGUCAAACCUUAGCUAUUUAAAAAGCCCGCCACUGCUUGUAUAGCUGUAUUAAUAGGUAUGGAUAUAUACACAUUUGAAAAGUUGCAGUGAACUAUCAAUAGAUGGCGCUGCAUUCGAAAACCUUGACUGAUAACUCUAUACCCUAAUAUUCA